GAGAGGAGCUUGCUCCUGGAUUCAGCGGCGGACGGGUGAGUAAUGCCUAGGAAUCUGCCUGGUAGUGGGGGACAACGUUUCGAAAGGAACGCUAAUACCGCAUACGUCCUACGGGAGAAAGCAGGGGACCUUCGGGCCUUGCGCUAUCAGAUGAGCCUAGGUCGGAUUAGCUAGUUGGUGAGGUAAUGGCUCACCAAGGCGACGAUCCGUAACUGGUCUGAGAGGAUGAUCAGUCACACUGGAACUGAGACACGGUCCAGACUCCUACGGGAGGCAGCAGUGGGGAAUAUUGGACAAUGGGCGAAAGCCUGAUCCAGCCAUGCCGCGUGUGUGAAGAAGGUCUUCGGAUUGUAAAGCACUUUAAGUUGGGAGGAAGGGUUGUAGAUUAAUACUCUGCAAUUUUGACGUUACCGACAGAAUAAGCACCGGCUAACUCUGUGCCAGCAGCCGCGGUAAUACAGAGGGUGCAAGCGUUAAUCGGAAUUACUGGGCGUAAAGCGCGCGUAGGUGGUUUGUUAAGUUGGAUGUGAAAUCCCCGGGCUCAACCUGGGAACUGCAUCCAAAACUGGCAAGCUAGAGUAUGGUAGAGGGUGGUGGAAUUUCCUGUGUAGCGGUGAAAUGCGUAGAUAUAGGAAGGAACACCAGUGGCGAAGGCGACCACCUGGACUGAUACUGACACUGAGGUGCGAAAGCGU
rnacentral:rRNA from 1 species